GUACGGCCUGUUCAUCAGUUGGAGCAAUGUUUCCAGAGCAUUGUCAUAAGCCAGGCUCGCACGUGUCUUCAGGCCAGGCUGUGGAGGAGCCCCCCUUCUGCCCGGAUUUCUGCUGUUGGGUGCCGUGUGACCUUACAGCGGUGCCAUUCCCUCACCGGGCGGUGGCAUGCAGCGGUGACAUUCCCUAACUGCCCGCAGUGGAUCUAGCACGCAAGUCUAAGAGCCCACGAGUCCAAGAGAGUUCACAGAGCACUUCUCCACCCUGCUUUGGUGCAGGUUCCUGAGCCGAUAUCACUGUGCUACGUACUGCUCUUUGUAUGUGCAAGCUCUCCUAAGGUGAGUGUGACUCACUUCCCCGGUGUGAUGUAAGGAUGCUCUGGGCUCCAUUGCAUUAGUCACACAUUUGCUAGUGGUUUGCAGGAUAAUGCUGUGCCACGUAACAAUUUCAUAGCUGGGGAGUUCAAGGAGAAGAGGACAAGGUCCAGGUCCCCUGCACACAAUUCUCCUAAGGGGCCUGGACCUAUCUGCAUCAGCCUGGGUCACAGGGGGAUGGUUUAUAUUAAAAUCUCCUACCUGACUCCUCCAAAAUGCAGCGCAGUGCUCCGGGAUUCUUGGCCUUUCAGUGCCUGCAGUGGUAGUUAUACAGAACGUACGGGUAGGAGACCGAGCGCCAACAUCUGCUAUUGAAUCUGAGCUGCUAAACUAUGACUCUGCAAGUUAUUUCAAUAAAUCUACUCUUUUAAAUUUAAUGAGGGAACCG
rnacentral:lncRNA from 1 species